GGCUGGAAGCUUUCGAUUAGGGGCCCUGCCCUUGGGAAGGUCUGAGAUGAGACGUCUAGCCGAAAGGGCACCUAGUUAAUGCUGGGGAUCGUUCAUAACAGAAACGUUCGCUUCUCCUAUGACCGGAACGGAAUGAUUAGGAGGUGCUUGGAAACUGAGCGAUGUCUUAGACUAAAAUAGUCCAACUCGAAAGGCAGCCGUUUGCGUUGUAACCAAAUUCAGACUACUCUCCAGCAUCC